rnacentral:tRNA from 1 species
AAAAAAUUAGUUAAAUCAAUAACAUUAGUAUGUCAAACUAAAAUUAUCUUAAUUUAUAGAUAUUUUUUG